GGAGUUGUGGCUCAGCGGUAGAGCACUCGCCUCUCACGCGUGAGACCCUGGGUUCAAUCCUCAGCACCA
rnacentral:tRNA from 1 species